rnacentral:rRNA from 1 species
AAGCACGGCCACACUGCCUAGUUCACGCCCGAUCUCGUUGAUCUCGGAAGCUAAGAUAGGGUGGGCCUGGUUAAUACUUGGAUGGGAGACCCCCUGGGAAUACCAGGUGCUGUAAAGC